rnacentral:rRNA from 1 species
GACGAACGCUGGCGGCGUGCUUAACACAUGCAAGUCGAACGGAAAGGCCCUGCUUUUGUGGGGUGCCCGAGUGGCGAACGGGUGAGUAACACGUGAGUAACCUGCCCUUGACUUUGGGAUAACUUCAGGAAACUGGGGCUAAUACCGGAUAGGAGCUCCUGCUGCAUGGUGGGGGUUGGAAAGUUUCGGCGGUUGGGGAUGGACUCGCGGCCUAUCAGCUUGUUGGUGGGGUAGUGGCUUACCAAGGCUUUGACGGGUAGCCGGCCUGAGAGGGUGACCGACCACAUUGGGACUGAGAUACGGCCCAGACUCCUACGGGAGGCAGCAGUGGGGAAUAUUGCACAAUGGGCGGAAGCCUGAUGCAGCAACGCCGCGUGCGGGAUGACGGCCUUCGGGUUGUAAACCGCUUUCGCCUGUGACGAAGCGUGAGUGACGGUAAUGGGUAAAGAAGCACCGGCUAACUACGUG